GGCAGGCCCAGCACACAGAGGGAAGGAUAGCAGAGCUCACACAAGGACUGCAGGGCUUGUGAGCGUUUCUGGAGAGGAAGUUCUCCUCACAGAGAGAGGGACACAGCAGACAGCAGGCACCAUGGAGCCCCCGUCAGGCCCUGCAAGCAGGCGGCAUGUCCCCUGGAGCAGGCUCCUGCUGGCAGUCUCACUCUUAACUUUCUGGACCCCACCCACCACUGCCCAGCCUACUAUUGAAACGGUGCCCCCCCUUGCUGCAGAAGGGUCCGAUGUUCUUCUACUUGUCCGCAACGUGUCAGAGAAUCCUCUAGGCUAUGGCUGGUACAGAGGAGAAAGGGUAGAAAACACCCAGCUAAUUGCAUCAUAUAGGGUAGACACUAAUGCAACUACCAAUGGGCCUGUGUACAGCAGACGGGAGACACUUUACCCCAACGGAACCCUGCUGAUCCGGAACGUCACCCAGAAAGACACAGGAUCCUACACCCUGCUCGUUACAAAGAAGGAUUUACAGACAGAAAGACAGACUGGACACCUCCACAUACACCCGGUGCUGUCCACACCCGUCAUCAUCAGCAACAACUCCAACCCCAGGGAGCACGAGGACACCGUGGUGUUAACAUGUGGAGCUGAGACCCAGAACACCUCCUACAUGUGGUGGAUCAACAAUCAGAGCCUCCCCAACAGCACCAGGCUGGAACUGUCUGAGGACAAGAGGACUCUCACUGUGUUCAAUGUGACAAGGAAUGACACAGGACCCUAUGUGUGCGAAGCCCGGAACCCAGUGAGUGUCAGCCGCAGUGACCCAUUCACCCUGAAUGUCGUCUACCCAGUGGCAAAGCCCUCCCUCCAAGCCAGCAACACCACAAUCACAGAACACGAGGGCCCCGUGGUCCUGACCUGCCUCACAGAUGAGACUGGGGUCUCCAUACGCUGGUUCUUCAAAGGCCAGAGCCUCCUCCUCGCACAGAGGAUGACACUGUCCUCAGACAACAGCACCCUCACCAUAGACCCUGUCAGCAGAGAGGACACUGGGGAUUAUCAGUGUGAGGCCUUCAACAGGGGCAACUCCAAUAGAAGCAACCCCCUCAGGCUACAUGUGAAAUAUCAAUUGACACCAGAAAGCUCCUCUGACCUCUCAGUGGGCGCCAUUGUCGGCAUCGUGAUUGGCGCCGUGGCUGGGGUGGCUCUGAUAGCAGCCCUGGGGUAUUUUGUGUACACCAAGACUAUAAGCGGGCAGGGAAACCAAGGUCCAAGAAGGAAAACUAAUGAGGACAUGAAAGGAGGAGCAGGAGGAAGGGAGUCCUGUGCUGUGUCAACCGCAAGAGCAGGAGGAGGGAGGGACAGGACUGGAAGAGAACCUAAGAAAAGCAGGAACAACCCAAGGCCUCCUGGGCAAUAAAGUGAGAAAUAACCAGCAUCUACCUACAAAAGGGAACAGAUGUCCGGGUAGAAAUAGAAGCAGUUGAGAUGAAUGGCCGUAAAUGUUCUGAAGAACCAGUAAACCAGAGAGGAGUAACCAUGAGAAAGGGUAAUGGGUAGAUCGAAGACAGAGGUCCUAGGAGGAAAGAGGACCAACCAAGGUAAAAAUGAACAUGGAGGAGCCCCAGGGAAUCAUGCCAACAUUGUGCUUCCUAAUUCAAGGAGCAAAGAUCCUGUGCCUGGGAAUAGUAGUCACUGUGUCUGAUAUUUAUUUAGGGCAAGUGACCAGCGCGAUCUCACAGAGCACAAAUCCUCAGAUCACAACCACAGUAAGUAGAGCCACUCACUCAGUGAGAGCUGGUUUGUUCCACCACGUGCCCUGACUGACCAGGGAAUCCCUACCCUCUGAAAUAUGAGAGGUGAUCUCAGUCCCCACCCUCAGUCUGGCACAGGUCCUCACACCCUUCCUAGUCAUGUAAGAGUCCCAGAGACAUGGCCCCUCUGAGGCCACACCAGCCAGGCAGCCGUGGGAUGGCCGAGCUUCCAGGAGCCCUUUCCUCAUCCUGCCUCCUUCCCCCUCCUGCCUCUGUCAUGGAUGCGGGCAUCUCCUAUGGUGAGACUUUCCCUGCCUCUGGUGCCCUGGGUGCUGUGGGCCUCAGCCCCUCCUGCCUCUGGAGCCUGCUUCCGAGACACACACCUGUGAGACAUACCUGGGCAAAACUCAGGCCUUGUGAACUGGCAGAAAUCUUCAGAAGUGCACUGAGGCCUCCCCUCAACCCCACCCUGCCCCACCACCACCUCGGUCUAAUGACUGGGCUCUGGACCACAGACUAAGGGAAGUGAAAUCCUUGUCUUAAUCGUGGGCCCCCAACCCUGCCACCACCUGCCACCUCCUUCAGCUAGAAGUCACAUCAGCUUAGGAACAGCCUGUUCGGAGACCAUAAGGCAACUCUGCAUUUUCAUGGGUUGAUGACUCUCCUUUAUUUCCCCAGGUCAAGGUUAUUCUGACAGUUUACCUGCAAAGGUUGAUGAAGUUGAAUAUUCCUCCCUGAACUUCAAUGCCCAGGAAUUAAAAAAUAAAGCAACUUCAGCCUCCCCAUCUCCAAAAGAUACAGAAACAAUUUAUUCAGAAGUGAAAAAACAGUAAUGGAACCUGU